rnacentral:tRNA from 1 species
GAUUAAGUAGUUAAUUAUUAAUUUUUACUUUGAAAGUAAAAGAUGAGAAGUGUUUCUCCUUAAUCU